AACGAACGCUGGCGGCAUGCCUAACACAUGCAAGUCGAACGAGACGACCGGGUCUAGGGGCGAACGGGUUAGUAAGGCGGGGGAACCUUCACUUAGGUUCGGAAUAACUCCCAGAAAGGGAUGCUAAUACCGGAUAAUGUCUUAGGACCAAAGAUUUAUCGCCUUUGGCUGGUCUCGCGUUGACUUAGCUAGUUGGUAGGGUAAAAGCUUACCAAGGCGAUGAUCCAUAGCUGGUGUGAGAGCAUGAUCAGCCACACUGGGGCUGCGACACGGCCCCGACUCUUACGGGAGGCAGGAGUGGGGAAUAUUGUACCACGGGCGGAGUCAUGAUGCUGCUAUGCCGCGUGAGUGAUGAAGGCCUUAGGGUUGUAAUGCUCUUUUACCCGUGCUGAUAAUGACCGUACCGGGAGAAUAAGCUCCGGCUAACUCCGUG
rnacentral:rRNA from 1 species